UACGUAGGUGGCGAGCGUUGUCCGGAAUUAUUGGGCGUAAAGAGCGUGUAGGUGGGAUCAUAAGUCUUUUGUCAAAGUGCGGGGCUCAACCCCGUGAUGCGGAGGAAACUGUGAUUCUUGAGUGCCGGAGAGGAAAGCGGAAUUCCCAGUGUAGCGGUGAAAUGCGUAGAUAUUGGGAGGAACACCAGUGGCGAAGGCGGCUUUCUGGACGGUGUCUGACACUGAGGCGCGAAAGCCAGGGGAGCGAACGGGAUUAGAUACCCCGGUAGUCCUGGCCGUAAACGAUGGGUACUAGGUGUAGGAGGUAUCGACCCCUUCUGUGCCGGAGUUAACGCAAUAAGUACCCCGCCUGGGGAGUACGGCCGCAAGGUUGAA
rnacentral:rRNA from 1 species